AUUGAACGCUGGCGGCAUGCCUAACACAUGCAAGUCGAGCGGAGCGGCGGACGGGUGAGUAAUGCCUAGGGAUCUGCCUGGUAGUGGGGGAUAACGUCCGGAAACGGGCGCUAAUACCGCAUCCUAUUAGAUGAGCAUAGGUCGGAGUAGCAAGUUGGUGGGGUAAAGUAGUACCAAGGCGACGAUCCGUAACUGGUCUGAGAGGAUGAUCAGUCACACGUGUACGAGGAUACUGUCCAAACUCCUACGUGAGGCACCAGUGGGGAAUAUUCGACAAUGGGCAGAAGCCUGAUUCGGCCAUGCCGCGUGUGUGAAGAGGGGCUUCGGAUUGUAAAGCACUAUAAGUUUCGAAGCGGUACCAACAGAAUAAGCACCGGCUAACUACGUGCCAGCAGCCGCGGUAAUAC
rnacentral:rRNA from 1 species